AAAGAAUUAGUUUUAAUAAAAACAUUUAUAUGUCAUAUAAAAAAUAUUAUUUAUAAUUAAUACUCUUUA
rnacentral:tRNA from 1 species